rnacentral:lncRNA from 1 species
ACACUCUCCUACACACAAACAAGUCUCUGCUUUUCCCACACAACUAGUUUUCACUUGCAAAUUCAUUUAAUGGAUCACUUUUUCUCGUACUCCACCUCAUCUUACUCGGCCCCGCCUCAAGACCCAUAUAACUACUCAUCCUACCCCACCUCAUCUUACUCGGCCCCACCUCAAGAUCCAUGUCACUACUCAUCCUACCCCGAUUCCUCAUUCCCCACAGAAACCACAGGCAAUGCCUAUGGCAUUGGCAAUGCCAGUGACCAGCCUGUUCACAUUCCUGGUGACGAAGUCUU